CGUUAUGGUGGUUGCACGGAUACGCAGUGGCAAAAAGCAAUUGAUUUUUUCCGUCGCCCAGAAAUUACGGUAUUAAUUUCUUGCUAAACUUAACUAUCUUAAUUAAAUAUAUUACUAACGAUAACUUUUUGCAGAAACGUUCUGUGGUCAACAAGGAAAAUAGAAAGAAACUGAAAGAGCUUAGCUAUGGAGGUUCUCAGUCAAUCCCAGCCUUACGCUAUAAAAAGGAGGAAUUGCGUGCAUACCGCGACACACAGCAGACACAGGCAACUGAUACUGAGAGUUCCACACCAGUUUCGAGUGCGCCUGAAGAUGAAGACAUAUCUUUGGUACAAAUGUCUUCGGAAAACGACGGGGCCACCAGAAAGGAUAUGGACGUAUCCUUAACAUAAGGGACCGAACUCCAUUUGAUUUUCGUCCUUCACAAACUAGAGAUGAAGAGUUGUCUGAGAUGAGAGAGCAUCUUCGACAGUUAGAGGAGCAUGUCCGGACUCAUUGUAUCACCCCGGGAUCUCAAUCUGCCCCACCACCACCACCCGAUGAUCCUGAUGUUGGAGCACCGACUCAGUAGGACUUAUGUAUGAAUUUUAUUACAAUUGACUAUUACAUUAUCAUGUUUAAGACAAGUCUUUAUUUUAAUUCAACGAAUACACUCUUAUGUUUUUA